CACGCUUACUAAGCGUGGGAAAAUAACCACACUUUUAUGCGUGGGUAAGAGCAAAUGUAAAAGCAAAAACUUAAAUCCUUAACUGCUAUUUUCACGCCUUGUCCUCAAUGUCAUUGCUGCUCCCUCAUCUUUCCACACUCCUAUAUCUCUAUUUUCCCUUUGUGCGAAAUAAUCGAGCGAAAUUAUCCCCGAUCUUCACCUCCUUCUUCCUUAUUUUUUUCCCACAUUAUUUUUCGUUGCGUUCAACCCUAAUUUGAGGUUCUGAUUGCGAAAUUAUGGAGCAAAGAAACUUAGAAUCAGGUAAUGAAAAUGGAAACCAAUCGAAGAUUCUUGCAAAUCAUCUUUGCUAAGGUUUGAAUUUAUUCUCUUUCUGUUCAAUUUUGCUGUUAAACCCUCCUCUUUCUGUUCAAUUUUGCUGUUAAAUCCUAAUUUUUAUCAAGGGUUUUGCUACUUUUUUCAAGUGGGUGUUCAAAUUGAGAGGAAAUUAAGUUUGUUGUUUCAUAGAACCCUAUUGAUAUUUCAGGUUCAGAUUGACUCAAAUUGUUUCUUCACAAUAUGUUUGUUGAUUCAUGGAACCCUAUUGAUAUUUGUACGUGAAACAAAGGAAAACAAGGAGAGUUUGUAUGCAAAGACUAUUGUUCAGAUCAAUCAGUAAUUGGUUUUUAAACAUGGGUUUUAAUUUUUAGGGUUUGAAGGAGUCUCCCCUUUCUUUUACUAUCCUUUCAUUGACUAUAGUGAACAGUUAUGGCUUUGCUUAUUCACACAAGGUCCAGAGAAAAAGAAUUCAAAAGGUUUUGAAGGAUUAAUCCGAUCUACUUGGCUCGGUCUCUUUUGUGAGGCUUUUGUGCAGUUGAAGUCAUGUUCAUGAUUCCAAGCGUCCACUGUUCUUUUACGUUUUGUACCAAGAUCAUUAUUGAUUCUUUUGGUUGAAUGGAUAAUUGUUUCUCUGUGAUAGUUUAUCACUAUGUAGCCUUCCCUAACGAUUCAUUUUAAUUGUAAAACAAUCUGCUCAUGUGCUGCAAUUUGCUUUCAAUGAGGUUGGAGCUGCGUCCUCCUGUGCUGCUGUGAGCAGUUUCACAAUGAAGUGUGGGUAUGCACUAUUAUUUUUAAAGUGUUUUUGGGAGCUAGAAAUAAAAAAUUAUGCUCAUAUUUACCCGAUUUGGUCAGGUUUGCGUUGGCCCUUUAUUCUCUGCUAUUGUGCUCAGUUUCGUUAUCAAGUACAUUUAGAUAAUCAAUAAUGUGGGCUAUUAACUGUUUACAGUAAGUUUUGUGAUUUGAACAUCAAUUGUAAAAUAUAAACCUACAUAUUGAAGUGACUAGAAUAGUUGGGCUGUUAUCUAUCAAAAUUAGUUUUGAAAGAUAGGAAAACAUAACAUGUCAUCAAUUAAGAGUUGUAGGCCACCUUUGUCACCAUUAGUAGGGUUAAUUGUGGUGCCUUCCUCAUCAGCUUCCAUUGAGUACAUUCGUUCUGAGUGGUUAAGAGCAUGCCCUGCAUCAGGAUUUACAUGGCUAGUUAAGUAAAGUCUCAAACAGAAGGUAGAGAAUAGAGAUGAUAACUAAAUGCAACACUAGAAUUUUGUUGUUUAGCCUAGGGGCUAGGAGUAUGUUGUGCUUUCAAUUAUGAUUAGAAACAUCCUUGAUGAUAUUCCUUAAUUUUCAGGAAUCAAGAUCUUAAAACAAACGUAUUUGAGGCCAUUGGUGUUGUUGACACCAUGCUUAGAAACUGAAUUACAGAUUCAUUCUUCUACUGUUGUGCUUACUUCAUCCAACGAAUGUCAUCUUGUAUGUUCUCUUAGAUACACCCGGUUUCUUGGUGGCUUGCUUUUGGAAUAUGUUUCUAACAUAAACUCCAGAACAAACUUAAAUUGUUGCAGCCUGCAGGCAAUGAGCGAGAGCAAAGGAGCUAAUGUACAAAUGCUAGAUAAGUUGUGCGUCAAAUUACAAAGUGGCCACCAAGGAACGUGUACAACAAUCACAAGUACUAGAUACAAGCAUUCAAAAGCAGUUAUAAAUGAAGACGUUUUACAUUAGUUUUUAGUUUUGUAUUGUAAAAUCAUGACAACAAUAUUUUUAGAUAUUUUAUUUGUUACGAUUGACAAUUUGUGAACUUAAUAUAUAUUUAUAUAUAUUUAUGUUUUGAAAUGAAAACAUAUGCAUUAUCUAUAUUUGGACUCCAUUUUUUUAAUUAUUGAUAUUAAUUUAUU